AAAAUGGGGCAUAGCUUUCUUAUCUAGAAAUAUACAGAGUCUUGUUUGCUUUGUUUCUUGCAUCAAGGUAUCAGAUAACCUGUUUGUAGUGAGAAAUGGAAAUUUACUCUUGAACAGAUCUUUGUCCUGUGACUGUCACUUCAGCGCCACAGUUUAGAUAGGUGUUUCUGUCCUGAAUCCUCAGUUGACACAGGCUGGUUAUUUGAUUCCACAAAACUGACCUUCUCUCUCAGCCCUUUCCUAGUGGUGAGCACAUGUUUAGGAAAGCCCAGCUUAUAGGUACUGUGGGAAAACCUGAUGUGCCCUAUAUAUAUAUGACUUUGUGACGCAAAGCUGUCUUAGUUAGGGUUUUACUGCUGUGAACAGACACCAUGACCAAGGCAAGUCUUAUAGAAAAAAAAAAAAAAAAAAAAAAACCCAACAUUUAAUUGGGGCUGCCUUACAGGUCCAGAAGUUCAGUCCAUUAUCAUCAAGGUGGGAGCAUGGCAGCAUCCAGGCAGGCAUGGCACAGGCAGAGCUGAGAGUUCUAUGUCUUCAUCCAAAGGCUGACUUCCAGGCAACUAGGGUGAGAGUCUUAAGCCCACUGCUACAUGCACUCCAGUAGUGACUUGCUUGACAGGUUUAGAAACCUGGAAGCAGACCUGAGGCGAAGAGUUUCACAGAAACUCAGUUUCCUGGAACUGUGGCAUCCCAUAGCACAUAUGCUUCAAUUUUGCCCCUGCAAAUGGAUCUGUGUGCUUCCUUUCAGUAUUGUUUUAUUAUAGGUGCCUCCAAGCAAUGACUUGCCAAAUACCUAAGCAUAAUCAAACUUUGCUUCCUGGCCUUCACCAAUGCCCUAGGUAGUCCUUGAGCCAACCCUGGGCUUUGAAUUCAGCAAGAAUGUUGCCUAUUCAGUGACAUUCAGAAUUGCCUCUAGUAUUGUAAGAGAGAUAGUGAAAGAAAUCAGGCUUUACUAUCUACUACAUAGAGUUAGAAAUCUCAGGGUAAGCUUAGCAACGUAAGUUUAGAAUUCUUAUUAUAGUUAUGUAUGGCAGACUACAUUACUUAUUAGUAGAAAGUCCCACCACACUAUCACUUAGAAUAAAAGCCAAGUCACUCACAUAUACAGGAACUUACAAUGGUUUAGGAAGUAGAUCAGGCUGUAGUUUUAGAGUAUUGCAUUAUUCAUGAGGUUUGCUGCAGAGCCUUUUUGGUCCCUGUCUGCGUAGUAGAACGGGUCUCUAGUUGCAAGUGGACAAGGAGUUGGCGAAUGAGUGACAGACAGAAGCGACAUACGAGAUUGUGUAGAAUCUGAAUGUAAUUUUUCAAGUCGAGCACCAAACUUUUUAUACAGAAGAGUGACAAGAAACCAGGCGAGAUACAUCCACAGAGUUACAGUGACACAAUACAAAAGGAAUGUAUGCAUCAAAAGAAGGCAGGGACCAGGCUGCUGCCACUAAGAAGGGAGCCAGGUGUAAUGCUAGUCUAUUGUUAAGCCCACCAACAGGGGUUCUUAGUAAAUGCCUGAUUUAUACUGUUUCUUUGGGCCUAGUAAAGAAACCUGUCUCAGGGGGAUUCCCUAACUCUUUCCUGGUAAACCCACCUAUUUGUUAGGCCAUUGUGAAUUCCCUUGUCUGGGUAAGACUGGUUAUUGUCCUAAGUAAUCACUCUGCAGACUAGCCCUGAGCUAUUCUAGCUCUGUUCUUUGUAAUGCCUAGUUAGUUUCACUGUUUCUACUAGAAGUCAAUUUGAAUGUUACUGAACAGGUAAUGUUCUUACUGAAUUCCUACUGAAUUCCAAGUUUGUCGGCUUCAAGGAUUUUCUGAGAAGUUGGAACACUAGCAAAGGCUUAGCUAUGUCAGAAUUCAAUAUUUAAAAGCACUUAU
rnacentral:lncRNA from 1 species